rnacentral:rRNA from 1 species
GCGGCGUGCCUAAUACAUGCAAGUAGAACGCUGAAGAGAGGAGCUUGCUCUUCUUGGAUGAGUUGCGAACGGGUGAGUAACGCGUAGGUAACCUGCCUGGUAGCGGGGGAUAACUAUUGGAAACGAUAGCUAAUACCGCAUAAAAUUGAUUAUUGCAUGAUAAUUAAUUGAAAGAUGCAAUUGCAUCACUACCAGAUGGACCUGCGUUGUAUUAGCUAGUUGGUGAGGUAACGGCUCACCAAGGCGACGAUACAUAGCCGACCUGAGAGGGUGAUCGGCCACACUGGGACAGAGACACGGCCCAGACUCCUACGGGAGGCAGCAGUAGGGAAUCUUCGGCAAUGGGGGGAACCCUGACCGAGCAACGCCGCGUGAGUGAAGAAGGUUUUCGGAUCGUAAAGCUCUGUUGUAAGAGAAGAACGGGUGUGAGAGUGGAAAGUUCACACUGUGACGGUAUCUUACCAGAAAGGGACGGCUAACUACGUGCCAGCAGCCGCGGUAAUACGUAGGUCCCGAGCGUUGUCCGGAUUUAUUGGGCGUAAAGCGAGCGCAGGCGGUUAGAUAAGUCUGAAGUUAAAGGCUGUGGCUUAACCAUAGUAUGCUUUGGAAACUGUUUAACUUGAGUGCAGAAGGGGAGAGUGGAAUUCCAUGUGUAGCGGUGAAAUGCGUAGAUAUAUGGAGAAACACCGGUGGCGAAAGCGGCUCUCUGGUCUGUAACUGACGCUGAGGCUCGAAAGCGUGGGGAGCAAACAGGAUUAGAUACCCUGGUAGUCCACGCCGUAAACGAUGAGUGCUAGGUGUUAGGCCCUUUCCGGGGCUUAGUGCCGCAGCUAACGCAUUAAGCACUCCGCCUGGGGAGUACGACCGCAAGGUUGAAACUCAAAGGAAUUGACGGGGGCCCGCACAAGCGGUGGAGCAUGUGGUUUAAUUCGAAGCAACGCGAAGAACCUUACCAGGUCUUGACAUCCCCCUGACCGCUCUAGAGAUAGAGUUUUCCUUCGGGACAGAGGUGACAGGUGGUGCAUGGUUGUCGUCAGCUCGUGUCGUGAGAUGUUGGGUUAAGUCCCGCAACGAGCGCAACCCCUAUUGUUAGUUGCCAUCAUUCAGUUGGGCACUCUAGCGAGACUGCCGGUAAUAAACCGGAGGAGGGUGGGGAUGACGUCAAAUCAUCAUGCCCCUUAUGACCUGGGCUACACACGUGCUACAAUGGCUGGUACAACGAGUCGCAAGCCGGUGACGGCAAGCUAAUCUCUGAAAGCCAGUCUCAGUUCGGAUUGUAGGCUGCAACUCGCCUACAUGAAGUCGGAAUCGCUAGUAAUCGCGGAUCAGCACGCCGCGGUGAAUACGUUCCCGGGCCUUGUACACACCGCCCGUCACACCACGAGAGUUUGUAACACCCGAAGUCGGUGAGGUAACCGUAAGGAGCCAGCCGCCUAAGGUGGGAUAGAUGAUUGGGGUGAAG